CGGCGGACGGGUGAGUAACGCGUGGGUAACCUGCCUCAUACAGGGGGAUAACAGUUAGAAAUGACUGCUAAUACCGCAUAAGCGCACAGGACCGCAUGGUCCGGUGUGAAAAACUCCGGUGGUAUGAGAUGGACCCGCGUCUGAUUAGUUAGUUGGCGGGGUAACGGCCCACCAAGGCGACGAUCAGUAGCCGGCCUGAGAGGGUGAACGGCCACAUUGGGACUGAGACACGGCCCAGACUCCUACGGGAGGCAGCAG
rnacentral:rRNA from 1 species